ACACACACAGAUGCCGUCAGGCCUUCCGUCCAACAAGAAGUGUCUACCCUGCACCUCAUGAACAGCAUCACCACCACCACCACCACCACCACCACCACUAACAAAACCGGCGCAAGGCCGCAAAAUCCCUAGAGAGAAUCCCCAUCCAUCUCCACUCCACUGAAUCCAGUUCCAACCAGCCGGUUGAAUUCCCAACCGUCGUGCUAACUAACUAGCCAUCUGGCUGUCUAGACUCUGUACCGGGCUCCCCGCAUCACCCAUCGAAGUCCGAGCGCCAGUACUGCGAUGUGCCGGGGUACAUGAUGUCUGCGUUUGGUGGAAAAAAGGGGGGAAGGGGGAGAGGUGGGAAAGAGAGAACGGGGAGGGAAAGACGAACCACGAACGAGCAACCAGGUGAUGCCAAGGAUAUGCAGACUGAUACGCCAGAAGAAAGGGUAUAUGCGUGAAAUCGAAGAGGUGCAGCUGGGUUAUGGAGAGGAGAGGUGGUCCAAACCCCGGGGCUUGGCAGUUGCGUGUUGUGAGCUGGACACACGCAAAUGCUGAUGGUGGUAACGGUAACGGUAACAGUAGCGCUAACGGUAAUAACGAAAAAUACCCCUACAAUCCCAAAGGCCGGCUCUACACAUCACUGGCCGGCUCUGCUUCGCAUCGUCGCCAUGCACAUGCAAAACAAUGUGUUUCAGUGUAAUGCAAACAACCUCUUCGGGGGAUGGUGGUCUUGAUAACCAAAAAGGCAACAGGCCCCCAGGCCGCCAGGGCGCCCUUCAGGUUCCAGCUGCGCCGUGCGGCAGCGUCGUGUCCCUCCGAAACCACCACGAGCCCCCCCCUCCUUCCCACGCACCCGCUAGCCCAACGAAGCACCCGCGCGAGACGCUCAUGUCGUGACGUUUCAGGACACAGCUGGUGUGGUGUUGGUGUUGGGGUUGCUGCCACUUCCUGCCCCCUCCUCUCUCCCCUCCCCCUCCUCCCUCUCCUCCCUCUCCUCUCUCUCCUCCUCCCUCCCUCCCCUCCCUUUCCCCCUCCCCUCCCUUUCCCCCUCUCCUCCCUUUCCCCCUCCCCUCCCCCUCCUCCCUCUCCUCUCUCUCCUCCUCCCUCCCUCCCCUCCCUUUCCCCCUCCCCUCCCUUUCCCCCUCCCCUCCCUUUCCCCCUCCCCUCCCUUUCCCCCUCCCCUCCCUUUCCCCCUCCCCUCCCUUUCCCCCUCCCCUCCCUUUCCCCCUCCCCUCCCUUUCCCCCUCCCCUCCCCCUCCUCCCUCUCCUCUCUCUCCUCCUCCCUCCCUCCCCUCCCUUUCCCCCUCCCCUCCCCUCACUGGUCGGCAAUCAUCGGCUCAAGUCGCUCUACUCAGAGUUUAAUUAUAGUCCAUAGUCCUCGUUACGUCGUCGUUACCUCAUCCUCUUCUUCGGCAUCGUCUUCGUCUUCGUUACCAUGGCCCUCGUCCCUUCGGUUUCCGCGUCCACCGACCUCAGCCAGCGCGAG
rnacentral:lncRNA from 1 species